rnacentral:rRNA from 1 species
GGCGGCAUCAGGCACACAACUGUAGCCCAAGACGCCUUGCUUAUCCACACCCCCAAGGGUACCCAGCAGUGAUUGACAUUAAACAUAAGCGAAAGCUUGAUUUAGUUAUGGCUAAAAGAGCCGGUUAAACUCGUGCCAGCCGCCGCGGUUAUACGAGAGGCCCUAGUUGACAUCAUCGGCGUAAAGCGUGACUACGGGACACUAAAAACUAAAGCCAAAACUCCUCAAAGCUGUUAUACGCACAUUGAGGCCCACAAGCUCCCAAACGAAAGUAGCUUUAAACAAACACCCGGAACUCACGACAGCUGGGAAACAAACUGGGAUUAGAUACCCCACUAUGCCCAGUCAUAAACUUUGAUGGUAAAAUACCUGUACCAUUCGCCAGGGUACUACGAGCGUGUCGCUUAAAACCCAACGGACUUGGCGGUGCCCCACACUCCACCUAGAGGAGCCUGUUCUAUAACUGAAACCACCCGUUAAACCUCACCACUUCUAGCAACCCAGUCUAUAUACCGCCGUCGCAAGCCCACCCUGUGAAGGAAAAACAGCAAGCAAGAUGGGUACAACCCAAAACGUCAGGUCGAGGUGUAGCAUAUGAAGC